rnacentral:lncRNA from 1 species
UAGAGACGGGGUCUCCCUAUGUUGCCCAAGGUGGUCUUGAACUCCUGGUUUCAAGCAAUCCGCCCGCCUCGGCUUCCCAAAGUGCCGGGAUUACAGGCAUGAGCCACCGGGUCCGCCGCUCAGGUGUUUUUAAAGGACGUAGACCCGGUGGUGAUUGUUGUGGGACGAUGAAAGGGUCCGGCCCCAAGAUCGAUGUAGUUUAGGGAAAUAUCUUUUCCCAAGGAAUGUCUCCGAGUUUACAAGAUGAGCGCCAAGGUCACGCCCCCCGCCCUCCCUCACAGCCCUCUGUUCACAGCAGCACCGUUCUCUUGUGGCCGGUUUUGUUGCUUUUCUGCUUAGCAGCCUCCCUCACAGAACCGUGAUCCCCCCACCCCACACAUCCCUUUCCCCGCUUCCUCCCGCACUCCUCUUCUUCCAGCAGGUGUUUACAGAACAUCCACGGAGUUUGGGCCAAGCCCAGAGUGAGGAGCUGGGCACUGGGGUGGCAGAAGACCAGGCCUUGCCUUGAGCCCUUGUGCGAGCUUUACCUCAAAGCCUCUGUAAUCGAAGUGGGAGAAGGGGUGGUGGUGCGUGGUUGGUCUCAGCCACCUCCACCACUCCUCAGAAGAUGAACGCUGGAUCCAGGAAGAGAUUGUCAAGCCUCCCAAGCCCUGUGGGGACAGUGCACACAGACUAUGAUGGAUGCCUGAAGUGGGUUGCAUUACAAGAGAGGAGCACUGAGCUAAAGGAAUUUGCCUCUUUUAGGCUACACAGAAUUAAGCCUGCUCUUUGAAGGUGGGGAGAUGUUAUCUCAUCCCUCAAACGUUGCUUGCUACAAACACCGCCCAGAGAAAUGGACUGAUAAAGAGCUGGACAUUGGAGUGGCAGAACAGCAAGAAUGAUCAGAGAAGUUCAAGGGCCAUGGCAGAGAGCCUUUUCCAACAUAGUACAGUGUACUUAUACACUACAUAUGAAGGCCAGCUAAUCUAGUCUUGGGAGAACCAAGAGAGGCUUCUGAAAGAGAUGACAUCUAUGCCGAACCUUGAAGGUCAAACAGGAAUCAGCCACAUAAAGAGAAGGAGGAGAGCAUUCUGGAUAGCAGGAACAUCAUGUAUAAAACUUUGAAGUAAACGAUACACUCCGAGAAGUUUUUCAUUCCCUUUCACAUUCAUCUCCAUAUUGAACUCCAAUCUCAAACACCUAUAAUUAAAGUCAGUGUGUGACUCUGGAAGGUCUAGAUUCAAUACACUUCUGUGAAUUGCAGUGGCCUCUGGAAUCUUUACAUUAAUGUCACAUAAAAUUCACAGCUAAUUAUUGUCGACUCAGUUCAUAACAUUUCCACCUUUUCGGUAACUCUUCUUUUUUUACUCCACAGUCCGCCUGGUUAACAGUGAGGCUUUGUAACAGCAUAACUUUAACUAUGGCUACAGUUUAUUGGCUCCUAUUUUGGAAACUGACUCAUGCUGAACUAAUCCCCUUUCCCUGGGAGUUUAAAAUCAAGGUUAGGAGAUUUUUAACGUACCGACUGCUCUCCAACAGCAGCAUUAUAACCUUUGCUAUUUUUUUCCCUUGUAUUCUGAAAAUAGAAGAGAAAUACAGAAAACUCUCUGGGUUAUGUAUAGUGCACUAGAGUCUGGUACAGUUCAUGAGCAGCGUCUCUAUCUCUGGUUUCUGAGACAUCCUUGCAUCCUUAUAAUAAAU